CUCGGAUAUAAUACGGGUCGUAAGAAAAUAGUCCAUCAUGGCCGACCAAGAAGAUGUUCAAACAACCAAGAGAUAUGUUAGUCCAAAGACAGAAUGAGGAGCGAACUUUUACCACUUAUUUGUGUAGAAGAGUAUGGUACCAGGGGUGCAGCUGACUCUGAUUCCCGGCUUCUUCUAAUGAAAAAAGUCAGAUGAGGCGCUGGAAUCCGAAUGUAAUCAAAAAUGCCAUUGAAUGAGGAUUGACCUGCAAUGCAUGGAAAUCAUCUAACACAACUGCAACGCCUACCUUGGAAAAAUGAGUGCAAGAUGGAAACAAAGUGUUCAGUGGAACAUCUUGUCAUCUCAAAUAUUUGAUGACUUACAUACUGAUGUGAAGUUGAAGAUAAAAGUCAUCUGUUGGUCCGUGAUUAUUAAAUAAAUCCGAACAUAUAUUUUAAAAGGGUAAUAUGGUAAAGGAUUUAUCUACGCUUAAAGUGGUUUUCCUAUAUUAUGGAGGGGAGAUAACUACAAAAACAGAAACAGAUGGAAUCGGCAGACCAAAUAAAGGAGAACUAUUUUGUUCAGUUCAAUUUUUAAGACUUCAGAAAAUCCGUUAAUAGGGCACAUCCUUGUAAAUGCCAUAUUGUAAACUGGGCUCUUUAAAUUAAAAUGUGAAAAGGUGAAAGUGGUCUAGAGGAUAAGCCUCAAAUUCAAGGUUGUGAGUUCAAGAUACUUUCUCUUGACCUCAGGAAAAGGAUGUCCAUUCUUGUUUCUACUUAGGCAACAGACUUAAGAGUGAUUUUGUAAGCUUCCAGCUUGCAUAGCAAUCUGAUAAGGCAUAAAAUAAGAUACUAGCUGACUUGCACACAGUUUUUCCAUUUGUGUUGAUUUAUUUUUCAGUCUGUUGGAAUGUUUAUUAGAAGUGAUGCGCAUUGCUUACUGCAACCAAUAUUUAUUUUCUUUAUUAAGUUAAAUUUAACGAACACAUAACAUGACUUGUGAUUUUACAGAUGCAUGUUUAUUUCGUUGAUUGUAUGAGUUUAUUUUCUCAAAUGAUGUAAUAAAAGUUAUUCUGAAUGACUGUCCUUUUUUGUUUGAAGAAA